CCUACGGGUGGCAGCAGUGGGGAAUAUUGCACAAUGGGGGAAACCCUGAUGCAGCGACGCCGCGUGAGUGAAGAAGUAUUUCGGUAUGUAAAGCUCUGUCAGCAGGGAAGAAAAUGACGGUACCUGACCAAGAAGCCUCGGCUAACUACGUGCCAGCAGCCGCGGUAAUACGUAGGGGGCAAGCGUUAUCCGGAUUUACUGGGUGUAAAGGGAGCGUAGACGGCAGGGCAAGUCUGGGGUUAAAGUCGGGGGCUAAACCCCCGGACUGCUCUGGAAACUGCCAGGCUGGAGUGCAGGAGAGGUAAGUGGAAUUCCUAGUGUAGCGGUGAAAUGCGUAGAUAUUAGGAGGAACACCAGUAGCGAAGGCAGCUUACUGGACUGUAACUGACGUGGAGGCUCGAAAGCGUGGGGAGCAAACAGGAUUAGAUACCCGAGUAGUC
rnacentral:rRNA from 1 species